rnacentral:pre_miRNA from 1 species
AGGAGGAACAACCCCAGUGGUUGCUGCAGCUCUGGAAACCUGGAGUCAGCUCCCGCAGGAACUACUCAGUCUGCAGGGCCUGGAGGCUCCGGGGCGGG